UGUAAGGGCAAAGCUGAUUGGCUGAAUGAGUUGCCACCCACACAGGGAGCAGGCAGCUUGAAAAGUCAUCCAAUCAGAAAAGGUCAGAAAACUGAAUAUAAGGAGAAGCGCUGGCUAGUCAGAAGGUGCAUGGCAGGAAAAGGAGAAGAGAGAAGGAGAUGACCCUAGAGAAGCAGCAGCGGAAGAAGAGCAGAGAUAGAUGGGAAUGAUCAGAGAUUGGAAAGCAAGAGAGUGACAGAACAGAAGGCCCUAAGAUGAGCUAGAGGAAGUUGAGAGGAGCAGUCAUUACUGCUUGUGUGCCUAUUCUUGAUUGGAGGGCUGUAUCCGUGUCCUUUCAAAGGUUAGCAGGAUUAGUCUGCUCUAGGGAGUCCUCUGCAAGUUAGAGACAAACUUCCUGGCAAUUCCCUUAAGGUGGGUCACUACCUUUCUCUCCAUUUGGACAGAACAAAUUAACAAAUCAAUUUGGAAUUAUAGGCAGACCAAUACUGAAGUUCCUUAGCUCCAAAUUUUGGGGGUAACAAAUUGGUAUCCCUUAUAGGGGUGGGCUCGAAGGUACUAUUAAAAUCCUAAGGCUUGAAAGCAUUAUUUUAAGGCCUAUAGAGAGGGUAUAGCACUCCCUGUUGGAUAAAAGGACAAUAGACCAGCAGUAAUUCUCCCCCUGCCCCUUCUCUUGUUUUUAAUUUUCUUCUCUUUCCUUUCUCUAACCUUUUUCCAGACUGAGGGGGAAAAAAAUCAGUAAGAAAGAAAAGUUACAUCAAAGGUAAGACCAUAAAAGGUAGAUAAUUAAGGUAAAUAAAAGAUUUCCUUCAUAAGAUCUCAAAAGUAAUUGCUGUACAGUAGAUAAUCUCAAGACUAUGGUGAACCUAAUUGUUUUCCUGUUCUGAGGGACAGAAAGGUAGAAAUUGUUUGUGCUUUCCUAUUCUGAGGGAUUUGGAAGUAGAAACUUUUGCUCUUUUUAUUUUUGUUUUUUUUACUUACCUGUUCUGAGGGAUUGGGAAGCAAAAAGCAAGUAUAAAUCACAGUAAACUUUGUCUAUUGGGAUCGG